CAGUCUCGCCAGAGCCCACGCGACUACGGAGCCCGCAGGGGCCCGACAUCGGCGGCGCCCUCCACCCUGGCUCCUGGUGACCGUGGUGACCUGGGGAGCUUCUGCCACAUGCUGGAGCCAGUGUCCGGGUCCACGCUGGCUUUGCGGGCCUGUGAGGCGGGUCCUGGGAUGGCGGCGGCGGCCAGAAGCCUCCAGACUGCGGCGAGCUGCCGCCUGCGCCCACAGGCCAGGGGGUCCCCGGAGUGGCCGUGCUGCAGCCCCCCAGCGCUCCAGGUCAGGCUGCGGGGGGCUCUGCGGGCCACUCGGCCCACUUGCAUAAUUGUAACUGUUCAUUUCCUCCCUUCUCUUCAGUGUCCAAGAAAUUAAGCACGUAUGAGCUCCUGACAGUGCCACCGUCAAAAACCUCAAAGUUCCAGCAGGGCCUGAACCUCUGUUCAUCCAAGUAAAAAUGCCACAGCGGGCAGAAGAGCUGAACCAGCUGUUCUCCAGGGAGGGUCCCAGGGUGGCAGAUGAGCACGGCGACAUCGUGUACCAUUAAGAAAACACAAAACCACAGUAGGACACCAUCACACACCCAUCAGAAUGGCUGUAAUCAAAAGGACCAACAAUAAAAAGUGUUCGUGAAGCUGGAGAUACGGAACUUUACUAGUGCGGAUAUCAAAUUAUAUCACUUCGCUAAGCAGUUUGGUGUUUUCUUAAAAAGUGAAAUAUACUUACCGUUUAAGUCAGCAAUCCCAUUUCUACUUUCUUACCUAUUAGAAGUG